GCCUUUAUAGCUCAAUUGGUAGAGCAUUUACCUUGUAAGUAAAAUCGUGUGGGUUCAAUUCCUACUAAAGGCU
rnacentral:tRNA from 1 species